CCCACCCCCCGCCAUAAUGCACUGAUUCUCCUAAAGGGAGAGAAUUCAAGAGCACUGUUGCCAUUCAUCUUGGUAACCAGUGCUCUACGGUUGCUAGCUGACAGGAGGUAGUGCCCUCCCCUCUCUGCCACCAGGGUCAUUCACAUAGCCACUUACUGCUGUACUCUAUUACUAAAGUACUCAACUUUAUCUACUGUGUCUGGCUGCGUUCCAACAGCAUUCCAACAGCAUGGCCGAUUGGAUGGGGAGCCUUCUCUCUGAGGCAUUCUUCCACCUUCAGGUUUCCAUUAGGUAAAUUAAAGAAUUAAGAUUCUGCCUAAUGUCUUCCCUGAUGCCAGAAUUGUGCUACUUCAGGAUGACCCAAGAUCUGUCUCUUGUUUCCUACCCAUUUCACACACACACACACACACACACACACACACACACACACACACACACACACACACACAUAAAUAUAUAAAAUAUUUGUGAUGGAAAAGUCAUCUUGCUUGAGCAAAAGAGAAAGUGGAACAGAGGCGACAUGGUGCUGAUGUCCUAUGGCAACCUUGUGGAGAAUGGCAGCUUGGGUCUCAUCCAGAAGAUGUCUUCAGCCUUCCCAGAAGUGGCUUCAGUAUGAGGUUAUGGGCAUAAACCACACUCCCUGAUGCACAGUUUCUCUCUAGUCUUCAUUUGGAAAAAAGAAAUCUCAUCACAGGUCAGCCAGCAUAGAUUUCUAAGCAGUCACUGUAAAUCCCACAUCGUGGCUAACCUAGAAGAAAAAAGUAUUGGACACCAAGGACCUCAAUUUGAAAUCAGAGAAAAGCAAGACUAACAAAUGCCAGCAGGCAAGCACUUGCUGAAGUGUAUUUGCCGGAGCUAUCAAAAAGCCUGAUGGAAAAAGUGGGCGUCCACACCAGUUUUCUAGGAACUCAUUCUGUUUAUACCUGCUACAUUGGUGUAACUAUUAUUAUUAUUAUUAAUCCCCUGACCUUCACAACUGUACUGGUUUGGGUGAUAAAUUAUGAAGUCACCUUAAUGAUGGCUCAUCUAUAGAAAUGAACUCAACAAAAACUAUAACCAUAGCAACUAAGAAUCAUGUUGAUGGGUGCUUUGUUAGCAUAGAUGGCAUCACAUACACCCCCAGUGUAUUUUAGCCUGAAUGAGGCAAUUCCUUCUGUUGCUGGUGAGAUUUGUAUAGGCUCCGCUUGUCUUGUUGGUUAAUCUGAUGCAAAGACUCAUCUCUGUGCUCAAAUUCUGAUCUCUGGCAUAGGCUUAGACUAUUGCUGAGACACGUCAGGUCUUUUGUCUAUGGGAAACAGGUCAAGAUCAGCCCUAAGGAAUGGGCAAAAAGCGAACUGUGUAGUCCACAUGAAGGAAGCAGGCUGGAGGUCUCACCUGCUCAGCUUGACAGCCUGGUCUGAGCAACCCGCUCCAUGCUGGAUGCUCAGCGUUCAGUCAGUGAGGCAGAGGACUUAUAUGAGGAAUAACCUUAUAGUGAAGCACUAAGAAUAGCGUGGGCUGUGAGCAAUUUGGAAUGUACACUAUACAUCAGUGGGAGGCAGGGGAUGUGGCUGUGGAUGUUGGCAGAGGCUAAAUGAUGAAGGACCUACAUCAGUAAGCAUCAUGGUUUUCCUCUGGAGUCGAAAUGACAUCUCAAAUGUCAUCCCAUCCUGGGGCCCCUCCUUGUACUGACAGUUACGUUUGCAGCAAGAUGACCUGGUUUUUCUCUCAGAACCUCUGUGCCCCUUCUAGGACUCUGUCCAUAUCUUGAUCAGACCAUCAGAUGACACAGUUCCUAGGGAUCCAGGACAAAGAGUGCCGGCAGAAACUGCCAACCUUGGGCACGUGUCCUCAUGUUUGUGGUCACCUCUAGACACUACAGAAGAGCCGAUGCAGUAAGAACAAUUGAUUGAUGGGGGUCAAGUUGGGGUUUCCAAAGCAAUUGCUGACGCUGCUGAGCUGACAUAGAAGAUGUUGUCUGUUCUUCUGGCGGACCUGGAUGGUAUAAAAGGCCGUUUAACCCAGUGCGCAGCUGCAGCCUUGAGCUGUGUGAAUCUUGAACUCCCUGCCGUUCUGAUGCACAGCACGUAAAAAGCAUGUGAUUCUGUUUACCCUGGUAGUGUGCACUCUUGGCCACAGCAGCAGAUCAGUUUGGAAUAAGCAAAUAGAGUCACCCCGAAAGGCAAACUGCAGAAACUCUCCGCAAUCACACGAGGAGGGCAUGCCAACAGAGAUUCUUUUCAAAGAAGAGAAUUAUGGGAAAGAAAUCGAUGAGUAAGAACUUUUAAAAUCAAGUGCAGAUGUUUGUUUUCUCAUUUGCUCCACAUGAGGGCUAAACAUGAUAUCUGUAAGAAACGUCUCUCUUUAGGCCCAAGGGAGAUUUCCCUUAAAACAGUGCAGAAAGUUUCCCCUUCACUAAUUCCCUUAAACAUGUUUCUUGAAUAGUGACUUUUUUUUUCUUUCUUCCAACAGUCAGCAGAGCUGAUUUGCUGACAAAUCAGUGAUGAUCUGAGGGAGAGUGGCGAGUCUUCUUUUCCCCUGAGGACAGCAGAGGAGCCAAGUGAUGGAGGCUAUCUAGUCUAAAAUAGGACCAUGAGGUCACUGGACUGAGUUUGGUCCACCCCAGAUCAUGUGGCUACCAAGUCCACCUUGUCCAUCCAAAAUGCCUUAGUGAGUGUAUGGUGAUGACCUUUUAGCUGCAACCCUUCCUGGAGAGAAGGCUCCUGUUUAGAAGCCUUUAUUAUGACGGGUUCAUUCAUCUUUCCUUGUCAGUUGUUAAAUCAGCACUCCUCUGCCCGAUGAGUUGACAAACUUGGGCCAGAAUGUGAAUCAAGAAUCUACUUCCUUUGUACAGGAAUUCAGGCUCUGUGAAAUCUAUCAGCCAAGUCACGAUGGCUUUGGUUUUUCCAGACAGGGUCUCUCUGUGUAGCCCCAACUAUCCUCGAACUUGCUCUGUAGACCAAGCUGAGUUUGAGUUCAGAGACCCACCUGCCUCUGCCUUCAGAGUGCUGGGACUAAAGUGUGCACCCCCACUGCUGGAAGACAGUGUUUUUGCCAUGGAGCCUGAAAUGCACUAUGAUGUGAACUCCUAGAACUGGUACCCUUCGGUAACCAUUGUGAUCUGUUACCUACCUGCAGGCGGCUCUCUGAGAAGCACCGGCAUAUUCAUGACUAUUGCUUGUGCCGUCUUCACAGGCCAGAAACGUCUUCAGUUAUCAGUCAGUCAACACUCAGAGAGGACAGUUUGCUUUGGAACAGUUCAAAUCUAUAAAACGAUGCAACGGUACAAAGAACGCCCAUGAGCUUUCCUCCUCCUAGGUUGCCCUUCAGAUUCUGCCUGUGGGCUACUUGCUACUAAGGGGGCAAUUCAUGAUCACAUGACCUGGAUUUCCCAUCUCUGCCUUUCUCAGAGCACUGUGCCCUCAACCUCAUGAGGACCUCAUUACACACAGCCACAGGAUUUUCUCUAUGCUGCGUCAUAGCAAUCUCAGUCAUAUAGUUUUUGGCAAAAAACAAAAAACCAAAAACAUAUCACAGAGGUAGUGCUGUGAUUCUUUACUGCUCUCUCACCAAGUGGCCCUUGUUGUGAAUUCAUUCCAAUGCUCGUGGUUGUGAGUUCGAUCGCUUGAUUGAGGUAGUGAUUGCCCCUGUUCUUUUUAUUAAGGUUACUUUUUAAAAAAUGUGAUUAAUAUUAUAUAAAUAUUCCAUUACCCAGUCCAUUGCCACCUAUUUGUGUGUAUGUGUGUAUGUGUGUAUGUGUGUAUGUGUGUACAUGUGCAUGUAUGUCUGUGUGUAUGUCUGUGUGUAUAUGUCUGUGUGUAUGUCUGUGUGUAUAUGUACUUGUGUGUAUAUGUGAAUGUGUGUGUGUCUGGGUGUGUGUAUGUGUGUGUAUGUGUGUUUGUAUGUGUGUAUGUGCAUGUGUGUAUAUGUAAAUGUGUGUGUGUAUAUAUGUGCAUGUAUGUGUGUGUACAUGUGUGUGUAUAUGUGCCUGUAUGCCUGUGUGAGUAUGUGUGUGUGUGUGUGUGUGUGUGUGUGUGUGUGUGUGUGUGUGUGUGUAUGUGUGUGUGUGUGCGCGCGUGCGUGUGCAUAAGGCUGGAGUUGCAUGUUGACAGUCCUUCUCAGAUACUCUCCCCUUUAUUUCUUGAGACAGGGUCUCUCACUGAAGCUGAAGUGUCCAGGUUCAGCUAGACUAGCUGGUCAGGAAGCCUGUGGGUCCUCUUGUCUAUGCCUUCCCAGCUCUGGGAUGAGAGAUGUCUGCUUCCCUACUUGGGUUUUUACAUGGGUGAUGGAGACCAAACAAAGGUCUUCACAUUUGUGUGGCAAGUGCCUUAUUGACAGAGUUGUAUUCCACAGUUCCCACUUGCUUGUUUUAACACCAACUGAUGCUUCUUGCUAGAGUUUUUUUUUCCAUUUAUCAAUUAUAUACUAUUCUUACAAUUUGUCACAUA